UACGUAGGGGGCUAGCGUUGUCCGGAUUUAUUGGGCGUAAAGAGCGUGUAGGCGGCCAGGUAGGUCUGGUGUGAAAACUCGAGGCUUAACCUCGAGAUGUCAUCGGAAACCAUCUGGCUAGAGUCCGGAAGAGGAGAGUGGAAUUCCUGGUGUAGCGGUGAAAUGCGCAGAUAUCAGGAAGAACACCAAUGGCGAAAGCAGCUCUCUGGGACGGUACUGACGCUGAGGAGCGAAAGCGUGGGGAGCAAACAGG
rnacentral:rRNA from 1 species